GAGUUUGAUCUUGGCUCAGGAUGAACGCUGGCGGCGUGCCUAAUACAUGCAAGUCGAGCGAACGGACGAGAAGCUUGCUUCUCUGAUGUUAGCGGCGGACGGGUGAGUAACACGUGGAUAACCUACCUAUAAGACUGGGAUAACUUCGGGAAACCGGAGCUAAUACCGGAUGAUAUUUUGAACCGCAUGGUUCAAAAGUGAAAGACGGUCUUGCUGUCACUUAUAGAUGGAUCCGCGCUGCAUUAGCUAGUUGGUAAGGUAACGGCUUACCAAGGCAACGAUGCAUAGCCGACCUGAGAGGGUGAUCGGCCACACUGGAACUGAGACACGGUCCAGACUCCUACGGGAGGCAGCAGUAGGGAAUCUUCCGCAAUGGGCGAAAGCCUGACGGAGCAACGCCGCGUGAGUGAUGAAGGUCUUCGGAUCGUAAAACUCUGUUAUUAGGGAAGAACAUGUGUGUAAGUAACUGUGCACAUCUCGACGGUACCUAAUCAGAAAGCCACGGCUAACUA
rnacentral:rRNA from 1 species